ensembl:ncRNA lncRNA:CR44606 long non-coding RNA:CR44606
AAUUUAGUGCUGUGAACUGCUGGGUGCAACUGUAGACAGCCAAUGUCUCUAAUUGCAGAGGGCCUAGCGAACAAAACAUAUAUAAUAUAACGGAAUAAGCUGUUCUGCAAUAUUUUAGCAAGGCAUAUAAAAUUCUUUAACGGGUCUCUCAAUGACAUUAUAACUUUCUUUACUGACAGUAAGCUAAUUUGUUGUCCUGUUUUAAUGACCGGAAACGGUUCCAAAAAAUGUUGCACUCCUGUUCGUUCAGCCGUGUUGGUGUGUGUGUGUGCUCGAGUUUGUGGCCCAAAACUCAAAACACAAAGCGAUUGAGAUUUCUAUGCAUUUCAAAACCAUGCCACCAACACACACGCACUCGAGAGGCACAAAGCUGUCAAAGACAAAAUUACAAAUGCUAACCAAAAAUGGAAAAUGAAAAUGGGGUGAAAAGGCCAAAAGCAAAUAUCAAAAGCGAAACAUCAACUCAAAGCCGCUCAAAAAACCUCAAAUUAUUGAGGUUUAUGGAAAGUCCGACGACGCGCAGAAGUAUGCUACAGCUUUUACGCUAAAUCAAAAUUCCUAUUCGAAAGAAGAACAAAGUUGAAAGAAACCAAGUAUUAAAUACAACAACUAAUUGAUAUUGAAGUGUAUAUAUAUUUGGGCAACACGUGUAAAACCUAACUUAAAUUUGUUGUGAGGCCCACCGAAAGGGUCAACAAAAGUGAGUUAUUAAAUGUGAGUCCAGACAGAGAUUAAGCCAUAAGCCCACUCCGUUCGCUAUUGAUAACGGCAAAUCGUUGGCUCCUCGGUGGCAGCUUCCCCACCAUCGGCACCCCAUCGUCAUCAUCUUCACCACCAUCAUCAUCAUCAUCAGCGUCAUCGGAGCGAACAACUUCAUCGGCGUCUGAGCGUCGGAGACGCCACAAAAGGUUAUCUCCGUGUCAAUUUAUAUUUGUUCGACGGGCCAUUAUAUUUAUUGUUAAUGUCCCUGCUCGUGUGUGCGGCUGCAUAUGUGCCCCUGCUAUGUAGUUUGCAUGUUUUCCUAUGAAUAAUAAAU